rnacentral:lncRNA from 1 species
CACCACUGCAAGAGGGGAAGUUGCUACUGUGAUGAAUUCUGCCAUGUGGUACCAGACUGCUACCCAGACCACAGUGUCCUCUGCAACCCUCGUAACUCACAUACAGGCCUGAUUCCACCUACAGCAAAGCUGGAUGCUAUGGUUGGCAGAGGCAAACCCUUUGCCUGCACUUCAGGCCAAAGCCGGGAUGUGGCCUAGAUGGUUCCUAAGCUUCUCAGAUGACCAAGAUGGUGCUGCAGAUGGUGCUGAGGAUGGAGAACCCACCAAGCCCCGCUAGGAGCCACCUAGACUGGAUGUAGAGCAUGGACAAUUUGCUGAGGUCUGGGAGCACCCCCUCCAGAGAGUCCCUGAUCUCUCAAAACUUGGUCGUGAUCUAAAGUUUAUUUGAUGUACAACUCCCCCUCCCCUUCUUUUGGAGUUUUAUUUGCUUCCAAGAAGGAAGGCAAGAUUUCCUGGGUCCGUGAUGAUGGAAGGCUGACAACUCUUUUAUGGAGUUUGAGCUUGCUCCCAG